CGUAGGGUGCAAGCGUUGUCCGGAAUUAUUGGGCGUAAAGAGCUCGUAGGCGGCUUGUCACGUCGGGUGUGAAAGCCCGGGGCUUAACCCCGGGUCUGCAUUCGAUACGGGCUAGCUAGAGUGUGGUAGGGGAGAUCGGAAUUCCUGGUGUAGCGGUGAAAUGCGCAGAUAUCAGGAGGAACACCGGUGGCGAAGGCGGAUCUCUGGGCCAAUACUUACGCUGAGGAGCGAAAGCGUGGGGAGCGAACAGGAUUAGAUACCCUGGUAGUCCACGCCGUAAACGGUGGGAACUAGGUGUUGGCGACAUUCCACGUCGUCGGUGCCGCAGCUAACGCAUUAAGUUCCCCGCCUGGGGAGUACGGCCGCAAGGCUA
rnacentral:rRNA from 1 species